rnacentral:lncRNA from 1 species
GUGCUCUUCUGAUUGGUAGAUAAUGUUUGUAAUAAAUAUUUUUGGUAGAUGGAUCAAAACUAGAGUUGAAAAAAAUAAAAAAAUAAAUGCUGUAUGUACUAAUUUUAUUUCCUACAGGGUUGAAAAGUAAUGGGGGUCAGUACAGGAAUUCAGUGCGAAUCUACAUUGUUUGUAAACAAGGCCAUGUGAAUGCCCAAAAAUGCUGCAUGACCCUAUGUUUUUAUUGUUGCAAAAGAUAGGGCUACAUUUGUACUUUCAUGAAUGAUAUAUGAAAGUUUUUAAUUUCUAAAGGUAAAUCAGGUAUAAAUUUAUUUCCACACAUAGAUUAGCAUUAAAGUCAAUGGGAGAUUUUUUACUGAAUUUACCCCUAUAAACUA